rnacentral:piRNA from 1 species
UGUAAAAUAGACAUUUGUAGGCUGGUGUG